rnacentral:rRNA from 1 species
UUAAGCGACUAAGCGUACACGGUGGAUGCCCUGGCAGUCAGAGGCGAUGAAGGACGUGCUAAUCUGCGAUAAGCGUCGGUAAGGUGAUAUGAACCGUUAUAACCGGCGAUUUCCGAAUGGGGAAACCCAGUGUGAUUCGUCACACUAUCAUUAACUGAAUCCAUAGGUUAAUGAGGCGAACCGGGGGAACUGAAACAUCUAAGUACCCCGAGGAAAAGAAAUCAACCGAGAUUCCCCCAGUAGCGGCGAGCGAACGGGGAGCAGCCCAGAGCCUGAAUCAGUGUGUGUGUUAGUGGAAGCGUCUGGAAAGGCGCGCGAUACAGGGUGACAGCCCCGUACACAAAAAUGCACAUACUGUGAGCUCGAUGAGUAGGGCGGGACACGUGGUAUCCUGUCUGAAUAUGGGGGGACCAUCCUCCAAGGCUAAAUACUCCUGACUGACCGAUAGUGAACCAGUACCGUGAGGGAAAGGCGAAAAGAACCCCGGCGAGGGGAGUGAAAAAGAACCUGAAACCGUGUACGUACAAGCAGUGGGAGCACGCUUAGGCGUGUGACUGCGUACCUUUUGUAUAAUGGGUCAGCGACUUAUAUUCUGUAGCAAGGUUAACCGAAUAGGGGAGCCGAAGGGAAACCGAGUCUUAACUGGGCGUUAAGUUGCAGGGUAUAGACCCGAAACCCGGUGAUCUAGCCAUGGGCAGGUUGAAGGUUGGGUAACACUAACUGGAGGACCGAACCGACUAAUGUUGAAAAAUUAGCGGAUGACUUGUGGCUGGGGGUGAAAGGCCAAUCAAACCGGGAGAUAGCUGGUUCUCCCCGAAAGCUAUUUAGGUAGCGCCUCGUGAAUUCAUCUCCGGGGGUAGAGCACUGUUUCGGCAAGGGGGUCAUCCCGACUUACCAACCCGAUGCAAACUGCGAAUACCGGAGAAUGUUAUCACGGGAGACACACGGCGGGUGCUAACGUCCGUCGUGAAGAGGGAAACAACCCAGACCGCCAGCUAAGGUCCCAAAGUCAUGGUUAAGUGGGAAACGAUGUGGGAAGGCCCAGACAGCCAGGAUGUUGGCUUAGAAGCAGCCAUCAUUUAAAGAAAGCGUAAUAGCUCACUGGUCGAGUCGGCCUGCGCGGAAGAUGUAACGGGGCUAAACCAUGCACCGAAGCUGCGGCAGCGACGCUUAUGCGUUGUUGGGUAGGGGAGCGUUCUGUAAGCCUGCGAAGGUGUGCUGUGAGGCAUGCUGGAGGUAUCAGAAGUGCGAAUGCUGACAUAAGUAACGAUAAAGCGGGUGAAAAGCCCGCUCGCCGGAAGACCAAGGGUUCCUGUCCAACGUUAAUCGGGGCAGGGUGAGUCGACCCCUAAGGCGAGGCCGAAAGGCGUAGUCGAUGGGAAACAGGUUAAUAUUCCUGUACUUGGUGUUACUGCGAAGGGGGGACGGAGAAGGCUAUGUUGGCCGGGCGACGGUUGUCCCGGUUUAAGCGUGUAGGCUGGUUUUCCAGGCAAAUCCGGAAAAUCAAGGCUGAGGCGUGAUGACGAGGCACUACGGUGCUGAAGCAACAAAUGCCCUGCUUCCAGGAAAAGCCUCUAAGCAUCAGGUAACAUCAAAUCGUACCCCAAACCGACACAGGUGGUCAGGUAGAGAAUACCAAGGCGCUUGAGAGAACUCGGGUGAAGGAACUAGGCAAAAUGGUGCCGUAACUUCGGGAGAAGGCACGCUGAUAUGUAGGUGAAGUCCCUCGCGGAUGGAGCUGAAAUCAGUCGAAGAUACCAGCUGGCUGCAACUGUUUAUUAAAAACACAGCACUGUGCAAACACGAAAGUGGACGUAUACGGUGUGACGCCUGCCCGGUGCCGGAAGGUUAAUUGAUGGGGUCAGCGCAAGCGAAGCUCUUGAUCGAAGCCCCGGUAAACGGCGGCCGUAACUAUAACGGUCCUAAGGUAGCGAAAUUCCUUGUCGGGUAAGUUCCGACCUGCACGAAUGGCGUAAUGAUGGCCAGGCUGUCUCCACCCGAGACUCAGUGAAAUUGAACUCGCUGUGAAGAUGCAGUGUACCCGCGGCAAGACGGAAAGACCCCGUGAACCUUUACUAUAGCUUGACACUGAACAUUGAGCCUUGAUGUGUAGGAUAGGUGGGAGGCUUUGAAGUGUGGACGCCAGUCUGCAUGGAGCCGACCUUGAAAUACCACCCUUUAAUGUUUGAUGUUCUAACGUGGACCCGUAAUCCGGGUUGCGGACAGUGUCUGGUGGGUAGUUUGACUGGGGCGGUCUCCUCCUAAAGAGUAACGGAGGAGCACGAAGGUUGGCUAAUCCUGGUCGGACAUCAGGAGGUUAGUGCAAUGGCAUAAGCCAGCUUGACUGCGAGCGUGACGGCGCGAGCAGGUGCGAAAGCAGGUCAUAGUGAUCCGGUGGUUCUGAAUGGAAGGGCCAUCGCUCAACGGAUAAAAGGUACUCCGGGGAUAACAGGCUGAUACCGCCCAAGAGUUCAUAUCGACGGCGGUGUUUGGCACCUCGAUGUCGGCUCAUCACAUCCUGGGGCUGAAGUAGGUCCCAAGGGUAUGGCUGUUCGCCAUUUAAAGUGGUACGCGAGCUGGGUUUAGAACGUCGUGAGACAGUUCGGUCCCUAUCUGCCGUGGGCGCUGGAGAACUGAGGGGGGCUGCUCCUAGUACGAGAGGACCGGAGUGGACGCAUCACUGGUGUUCGGGUUGUCAUGCCAAUGGCACUGCCCGGUAGCUAAAUGCGGAAGAGAUAAGUGCUGAAAGCAUCUAAGCACGAAACUUGCCCCGAGAUGAGUUCUCCCUGACUCCUUGAGAGUCCUGAAGGAACGUUGAAGACGACGACGUUGAUAGGCCGGGUGUGUAAGCGCAGCGAUGCGUUGAGCUAACCGGUACUAAUGAACCGUGAGGCUUAACCUU